AAGUGCCCAACGUGGAAAUUAUAGAUUUUAACGAAGGAACAAGAAAACUGAUGAAACAAGUUCAAAAGAAAGGAGAAAAAUGGAUAAGAACUUAAAAGUAUCUUCAAAUUUCUAAAGACAUAAUCAAACAAAGAUGAUUGUGGCAGCAUAUUUACUACUAAACUUGGCCAAUUUGAUGUCAAUAGAAAUGCAUGAGAUCCUUAUUCAGCAUUCACACCUGAGAAAUGCUUUUGGUCUACUCCCCAAGGCAAAAACAAACAACAACAACAAAAACCAGAAGUUUCUGAAGGACAGCAGAAAUGGGAAGUUCUUUCCAUGAUGCAAGGCAAUCAAUGAUUUCUGCAGUUUGCACAAUGAAUGCAGAUGAGGAACUAAAGAGAAGUUGAGACAAACCCUGCAAGAAACUUGGAAGAAAAAUGAGAGAUGGGACAGUAUCUCAGAAAUGUAGGGUUUGUGAGAGAGUAAAGUGAAAUCAGAAGGAGGUAAGUCAAAAAACGGAGGGCAUUAUGAGGCUGAUGUCCAAGUCAGAUUUUUAAACGAUGCUGUGUAGUGACUCUACCUAAUCACAAUGUAUGUGCACUAACCCUUUCCUGUAGGUAUUAUCAUCUUUUUUAUAGAAGUGCAUAAAUGUAGGCCUGAAAAGUUAAAUAACUUAAAUUGAGACACAGAGCUGUGAAUUUAACCAAUGCCCCAAUCUCAACUCGUAAUUUCAAUCUAUCCCGCUAUUUCUUAAUUAGGAGGUGUCUUAACUCUUAGGCAUACUUAAUUUACUUUUUUUCUUUAAAUUAGGAAGUUAAAGAGCUCAGUGAAGGUGAGAUGGUGUUAGAAAGAACAAUGUAAGUGUGCUCUCAGUGGAACAAACUUUUUAAUGGUGACAAAUUUCAAAACAGUUUAUUUAGGAAAUUGGAUCAUGUGCUGAAGGUACACAUUCUAAUUACAUUUCCAAAGUGAGCAAAGCUUAUUACUAUAUCUUUUUUUUCAGUGACAGAAUUUUUUUUAUAUUUAAAAACAUAACUAACUUUCCUCCAAAUAACCCCCAAACAAACAAAAAACUAGAUUAAAUAAAAUUCACAGUGAGUUAUACCCAACCAGCAUCUGUAUGUGCGACUAAACACUGUCUAUUACUGCAGUGUGAACCUUAUACAGUAUAAUAGUGUUCUGGGGACUUGAAGAAGCCCAAGUUUUAACUCUGCAGUGUUUGGGGAGAGAAGAUGGAGGAAGUAAGAGAAAAGGAGAAAACAUUUUAUUUUUCUUAAUUUUGUCCUACUAAUAUAUUCACAAAUUCCAAAAAAAGAAAAGGGAGCUUGGGAUGGUAAAGAAAUAGAGGAAUAAGGAGUGAGGGACCCUUGUCAUUGGAUUUAGGACCCACUGGGACCCCUGGGUGAUUUAGGAUCCCCCAGGAUGAUCAUGCCUGGAGAUCCUUAUCUUAAUUACAUCUGCAGGAACUCUUCUAAAUAUGACUGCAUUCUGAAGUUACAGGUGGACAUAUCUGUUGAGGGCCACUAUCCGGCUCACUAAAAUGAGCAUGAUCAAAAUUUUUAAAACAUGUUUUUAAAUUGGGAAAUAUAAUAAACAGAAAAAUAUAUAAUACAUAAUAUAUGAUAUAAUUAAAAAUUAUGAAGUGAUCACCUGUGUACCUACUACCCAUAUCAAUACAUAGAACAUUCCUAGAACUCUAAAAUACAGUUUCCUUUAAGGAUCACCUCAUUCCUAUUCAAUGGAAUUAUUAUGACUUUAUGGGAAUUAAUUUUUUGCUUUUCUUUAAAAUCUUACUACUCAUAUUGUAAAAUAAGACAGUUUUACAUAUUUUUCAAUUUUAAACAGAUGAAAGACUAUUAUGUGUUUUACUUUGUGUUAUGCUUCUUUUAAUUAAUAUGAUACAUAUAAGAACCAUAUAUCAUUGAGGGUGGCUGUAGCAAAUUUAUUUUCUUUACAACUUAGCUAUGCAUUUUAUAUUUGUUGCAUAAGUUUGUCACAUUCUAUUUUUGGCUAUCACAAACACAUAUUAUAAACAUUUUUUCAUUUAUUCUGGUGUAACUGCACAGUUUUAUAUGAGAUGUAUGCUCACUAGAUGACAGUUUUUCAGAGCAGUUACAGCAAUAUACCUUUCAUUAGCAGCUUAUGUGAAUUCCCAAUGUUCUUGUAUAUUUAAUAGCUCACAGUAUUGGCUGAAAUUUUAGUUUUCUGUAAUUUCAUAGAUGUGCAGUUAUAUUCCAUGGUAGUUUGAAUUUCUUUCUUUUUUUUUUUU
rnacentral:lncRNA from 1 species